CUGAUCUCGAAGAGGUGCCUGUGUUUUAUGCUGCUGAUUUCACGGCAAGUAAGUGGUUCCCUAAUUAGCACAGAGCCUAUGCUACAAAAGGAAAGAAUGGUUAACUGACUUCUUGAACAGUCUGCCAUUUACUUAGCCCUACAUCUACUAUGCCCCCACAGUAGAAAAUUACAGAUGUUACUUUCAGCUAUUCCUCAGAAGUUGUAUGUUGAAUGAUUUUCUAAAAUCUUUCUUCUUUUCCACGGAGCAGUUUAUUCCCUUUUUCAGCCCAUGGUCCCUGCUCACCUGUGCAGGGAGUCGGAUCUUGGAUGUGACACUGCUGCCAGACUCUGCCUCCUCCUGAAUUUCUAGCUCAUCCCAGCUGGUGGCUGUGGCCAGAACUGAGCCAGCAUCAUCUAGAAGUAAUGACUGGGUGAAUCCAUGAAUCAAAACCUGGUAAUAAAAGGCAGAUAUCCAUACAAGCC
ensembl:lncRNA novel transcript, antisense to COG1